UCAGGCGGUGGAUGAAGCCCGGGAUUUCUUCAAGAGGAAGGUGGAUUUCCUGACCAAACAGAUCGAGAAAGUCCAGCCGGCUCUGCAGGAGAAAUACACCAUGAGACAGACGGUGAUUGAAAUGUUGAACCUGAAGAUUCAGCAGAUGGCAGCUCUGAACAACUCCCAGUCCGGAACAACCAAAGCUUAAACUGUCCUGUCACCCAGCGUCCCACAACGUCAACCCAACCCAGCCCAGCGAUGAAACCCUGCCUGCUCCCAGAAUCAGGGCCACUGGCUGCCCAGGUCUCUACCUGGAUUUGUGAAGGUUUAAUUGUGAUGUCGGAGCUGUUAUUUACAGUGUUGUCUGCAACCGUGUGUAACCCUAUUACAGUGGGUGCAUAACCGCCUGUAACCCGGUCACGGUGAGUGCGUAACCGCCUGUAACCCGUUCACGGUGAGUGAUAAACCGCCUGUAACCCGGUUACGGUGAGUGAUAAACCACCUGUAACCCGGUUACGGUGAGUGCGUAACCGCCUGUAACCCGGUUACAGUGAGUGCGUAACCGCCUGUAACCCGUUCACGGUGAGUGAGUAACCGCCUGUAACCCAGUAACGGUGAGUGAGUAACCGCCUGUAACCCGGUUACGGAGAGUGAGUAACCGCCUGUAACCCGGUUACAGUGAGUGUGUAACCACCUGUAACCCAGUCACGGUGAGUGAGUAACCGCCUGUAACCCGGUUACGGAGAGUGAGUAACCGCCAGUAACCCGGUUACGGUGAGUGCGUAACCGCCUGUAACCCGGUCACGGUGAGUGAGUAACCACCUGUAACCCGGUCACGGUGAGUGAGUAAUCGCCUGUAACCCGGUCACGGUGAGUGCGUAACCGCCUGUAACCCGGUUACGGUGAGUGAGUAACCGCCUGUAACCCGGUUACAGUGAGUGCGUAACCGCCUGUAACCUGUUCACGGUGAGUGAGUAACCGCCUGUAACCCAGUAACGGUGAGUGAGUAACCGCCUGUAACCCAGUUACGGAGAGUGAGUAACCGCCUGUAACCUGGUUACGGUGAGUGUGUAACCACCUGUAACCCAGUCACGGUGAGUGAGUAACCACCUGUAACCCGGUUACGGAGAGUGAGUAACCGCCAGUAACCCGGUUACGGUGAGUGAGUAACCGCCUGUAACCCGGUUACAGUGAGUGCGUAACCGCCUGUAACCCGUUCACGGUGAGUGAGUAACCGCCUGUAACCCAGUAAUGGUGAGUGAGUAACCGCCUGUAACCCGGUUACGGAGAGUGAGUAACCGCCUGUAACCCGGUUACAGUGAGUGUGUAACCACCUGUAACCCAGUCACGGUGAGUGAGUAACCGCCUGUAACCCGGUUACGGAGAGUGAGUAACCGCCAGUAACCCGGUUACGGUGAGUGUGUAACCACCUGUAACCCAGUCACGGUGAGUGAGUAACCGCCUGUAACCCGGUUACGGAGAGUGAGUAACCGCCAGUAACCCGGUUACGGUGAGUGCGUAACCGCCUGUAACCCGGUCACGGUGAGUAACCACCUGUAACCCGGUCAUGGUGAGUGAGUAAUCGCCUGUAACCCAGUCACGGUGAGUAAGUAAUCGCCUGUAACCCAGUCACGGUGAGUGAGUAACUGCCUGUAACCCGGUUACAGUGAGUGUGUAACCACCUGUAACCCAGUCACGGUGAGUGAAUAACCGCCUGUAACCCGGUUACGGAGAGUGAGUAACCACCUGUAACCCGGUUACGGUGAGUGCAUAACCGCCAGUAACCCGGUCACGGUGAGUGCGUAACCGCCUGUAACCCAGUCACGGUGAGUGCGUAACCGCCUGUAACCCGGUCACGGUGAGUGCGUAAUCGCCUGUAACCCGGUCACGGUGAGUGAGUAACCGCCUGUAACCAGGUUACGGUGAGUGCGUAACCGCCUGUAACCCGGUCACGAGUGCGUAACCACCUGUAACCUGGUUACGGCGAGUGCGUAACCGCCUGUAACCCGGUUACGGUGAGUGCGUAACUGCCUGUAACCUGGUUGCGGCGAGUGCGUAACCGCCUGUAACCUGGUUACGGUGAGUGCGUAACUGCCUGUAACCCGGUUACGGUGACGGUGACAUUGUAACCAUCUUUUAACUUGUUACUGUGACUGUAAUCUUCUGUAACCUGUUACGAUAAGUGUUUGCCUGUCUGGUUAUUUCUGUCAGUUAAAGUUGGCCUUCGAUGUCUGUCAAUAAAAUCCCGACUGUUGUAAA